GACGAACGCUGGCGGCGUGCUUAACACAUGCAAGUCGAACGAUGAUGCUCCAGCUUGCUGGGGUGGAUUAGUGGCGAACGGGUGAGUAACACGUGAGUAACCUGCCCCCUUCUUCGGGAUAAGCUUGGGAAACUGGGUCUAAUACUGGAUAUUCUACAAUUGUCGCAUGGUGGUUGUGGGAAAGAUUUUUUGGUGGGGGAUGGGCUCGCGGCCUAUCAGCUUGUUGGUGGGGUGAUGGCCUACCAAGGCGUCGACGGGUAGACGGCCUGAGAGGGUGACCGGCCACGCGGGGACUAAACUGCGCACCAGACUACGACAGGAGGCAGCAGGGGGGAAUAUUGAACGAUGGGAGCAAGCUUGAUGCAGCGCCGCCGCGGGAGGGAUGACGGUUUUCGGGUUAUAAACCUCUUUAGAUGGGGAACAAGGCAAUAUUUUUGUCUGAUUGACGGUACCUGAAUAAGAAGCGCCGGCUAACUACGUG
rnacentral:rRNA from 1 species